rnacentral:rRNA from 1 species
GUGGGGAAUCUUAGACAAUGGGGGAAACCCUGAUCUAGCCAUGCCGCGUGAGCGAUGAAGGCCUUAGGGUUGUAAAGCUCUUUCAGCUGGGAAGAUAAUGACGGUACCAGCAGAAGAAGCCCCGGCUAACUCCGUGCCAGCAGCCGCGGUAAUACGGAGGGGGCUAGCGUUGUUCGGAAUUACUGGGCGUAAAGCGCGCGUAGGCGGACCAGAAAGUUGGAGGUGAAAUCCCAGGGCUCAACCUUGGAACUGCCUUCAAAACUCCUGGUCUGGAGUUCGAGAGAGGUAGGGGGAAUUCCGAGUGUAGAGGUGAAAUUCGUAGAUAUUCGGAGGAACACCAGUGGCGAAGGCGGCUCACUGGCUCGAUACUGACGCUGAGGUGCGAAAGCGUGGGGAGCAAACAGGAUUAGAAACCCCAGUAGUCC